GAUGAAGAACGUAGCGAAAUGCGAUAAGUAAUGUGAAUUGCAGAAUUCAGUGAAUCAUCGAAUCUUUGAACGCAUCUUGCGCUCCUUGGUAUUCUGAGGAGCAUGCCUGUUUGAGUGUCAUUAAAUUCUCAACUACACUGACUUUGAAUUGGUGUGGCUUGGAUUUGGGGGGAAAAUUGUUGUGGGCUUUUUGUAUAGUCUGCUCCCCUGAAAUUGAUUAGCGGUACCUUUGUGGAACUGUCUACAGGUGUGAUAAUUAUCUACAUCUUAGACAUCUGCUGGAAUGCUGCUUUCUAAACCUUACUUGUAUUGACAAUCUUGACCUCAAAUCAGGUAGGACUACUCGCUGAACUUAAGCAUAUCAAUAAGCGGAGGA
rnacentral:misc_RNA from 1 species